rfam:Streptosporangium subroseum strain CGMCC 4.2132 genome assembly, contig: Ga0079903_1066
GGAGGCUUCGCCUAGUCAGGUCUAUGGCGCCGCACUGCUAAUGCGGUUUGGCAGCAAUGCCAUCGGGAGUUCAAAUCUCCCAGCCUCCG